rnacentral:rRNA from 1 species
AUGUCGCCUGUUUUAUCAAAAACAUCGCCUCUUGAACCCCAACAUAUAAGAGGUCCCGCCUGCCCUGUGACUCAUGAGUUUAACGGCCGCAGUAUUUUGACUGUGCAAAGGUAGCGUAAUCAUUUGUCUUUUAAAUGAAGACCAGUAUGAAUGGCAUAACGAGGGCCAAGCUGUCUCCUUUUUCCAGUCAAUGAAAUUGAUCCCCCUGUGCAGAAGCAGGGACACAAACAUAAGACGAGAAGACCCUAUGGAGCUUAAGACACAAGACAGUUCAUGUUAAAAAACCAUAUUAAUGGAAAGAACCAAAUGGCCCCUGUCCUUUUGUCUUUGGUUGGGGCGACCAUGGAGUAACAAAAAACCCCCAUGUGGAACAGGGCCCAGGCCCUUAAAGCUAGAGCCACAGCUCUAACAAACAGAACAUCUGACCUUCAAGAUCCGGCAAGACCGAUCAACGGACCGAGUUACCCUAGGGAUAACAGCGCAAUCCCCUUUUAGAGCCCAUAUCGACAAGGGGGUUUACGACCUCGAUGUUGGAUCAGGACACCCUAAUGGUGCAGCCGCUAUUAAGGGUUCGUUUGUUCAACGAUUAAAGUCCUACGUGAUCUGAGUUCAGACCGGACGUGAUCUGAGUUCAGAC